rnacentral:rRNA from 1 species
GCAGAACGCUGGCGGCGUUGCUUACACCAUGCAAGGUUCGAACGAUGAAGCUGGAGCUUGCUCCGGUGGAUUAGUGGCGAACGGGUGAGUAACACGUGAGAAAUCUGCCCUUGACCCUGGGAUAACUGCGGGAAACUGUAGCUAAUACCGGAUACUUUCCGAGGUGGGCAUCCACUUCGGAAGAAAGAAUUUCGGUCAAGGAUGAUCUCGCGGCCUAUCAGCUAGUUGGUGAGGUAACGGCUCACCAAGGCGACGACCGGUAGCCGGCCUGAGAGGGUGACCGGCCACACUGGGACUGAGACACGGCCCAGACUCCUACGGGAGGCAGCAGUGGGGAAUAUUGCACAAUGGGCGCAAGCCUGAUGCAGCAACGCCGCGUGAGGGAUGACGGCCUUCGGGUUGUAAACCUCUUUUAGCAGGGAAGAAGCGAAAGUGACGGUACCUGCACGAAAAAGCACCGGCUAACCUACGUGCCAGCAGGCCGCGGUAAUACGUAGGGUGCAAGCGUUUGUCCGGAGAUUCAUUGGGCGUACAAGAGCUCGUACGGCGGUUUGUCGACGUCUGCUGUGCACUAAUCCAUAGGCUCGAACCUUGUGCACUUGCCAGGUCGGGUACGGGGCU